GAUCAUGGCUCAGGAUGAACGCUAGCUACAGGCUUAACACAUGCAAGUCGAGGGGCAGCAUGGUCUUAGCUUGCUAAGACCGAUGGCGACCGGCGCACGGGUGAGUAACGCGUAUCCAACCUGCCCACCACUUGGGGAUAACCUUGCGAAAGUAAGACUAAUACCCAAUGAUAUCUCUAGAAGACAUCUGAAAGAGAUUAAAGAUUUAUCGGUGAUGGAUGGGGAUGCG
rnacentral:rRNA from 1 species